UGAUCGAGGGAUCCGACUACUGGAAAUCAAGGCCACCUCCUUGAAUGUGCGAGCUCAAAGCGCACAGAAACAGCUGCCGAAAUCUGUAUAAAAGAAAUCGGGCUGGCUUUGUCUGUCCAUUACAUGCUUUCUGUACCUUCGCAGUGUUUAACUCGAUUAAAAUACUGUAAACAGAAGUUAUCCAUCGUUUUAACUGCGUCUUCCAAAUACGCACUGUUGGUUACCGUUGUGCUGUUUCUGCCUGUAUUGUUCGGAGUAAGUGUUCCGACGCAGAUUUCCGUACUGCGAAUAUGCAUUCACCGAUGGGAAAGGUCUCCAUGGCUGGAAUUUUGCUGGGUUUGUUGCUUGUGCAAGCGAUGACUGGUGCAGCUGAUGCUUGGCCCCCGAAACCAAAACCGGCACCCCCCAAAUGUUGCAACUGGGCAUGGGAAGGAUCCGAAUGCUUCUGGACCGGUUGGGGCUACGCGUACAAGCCGCGUCCGGAAAAUCCCAACAAAAACAAGUUCUGUAAAACUUAGUUGGCUCGUCAGCGAAUCGAUAUCGAACAAUUUGAUUUAACGGUCUUCUACAUAAUUUGUUAUAAUCCACACCUUAUGCAUUUUAACUAUGCAGUUUCGAUAUCUGGAUUUUUUUGAAUAUGAUCACGCUCCGUAAUAGUUGAUUUUCAACUGUAGAAAUUUUCAGAACCUACUCGCUUUUUAUGAUUACGGUCUUGGACUGAACUAUAAAUUAGCUGUUGCACUCUAAAUG